AAUAGCUCAGUUGGUAGAGCAAUCGGCUGUUAACCGAUCGGUCGUAGGUUCGAGUCCUACUU
rnacentral:tRNA from 1 species